GAUGAACGCUAGCGGCAGGCUUAAUACAUGCAAGUCGAGGGACAGCACAGGUAGCAAUACUGGGUGGUAACCGGCAAACGGGUGCGGAACACGUACACAACCUUCCUUUAAGUGGGGGAUAGCCCAGAGAAAUUUGGAUUAAUACCCCGUAAUAUAGUUGAAUGGCAUCAUUUGAUUAUUAUAGCUACGGCGCUUAAUGAUGGUUGUGCGGCUGAUUAGAUAGUUGGCGGGGUAACGGCGCACCAAGUCUACGAUCAGUAGCUGAUGGGAGGGCAUGAUAAGCCACACGGGACCUGAGACACGGGCCCGACUCCUACGGGAGGCAGCAGUAAGGAAUAUUGGUCAAUGGACGCAAGUCUGAACCAGCCAUGCCGCGUGAAGGAUUAAGGUCCUCUGGAUUGUAAACUUCUUUUAUUUGGGACGAAAAAGGGCCUUUCUAGGUCAACUGACGGUACCAGAUGAAUAAGCACCGGCUAACUCCGUGCCAGCCGCCGCGGUAACAC
rnacentral:rRNA from 1 species